CACAAAAUCAUUCAACAUUUACCUGAAAUAUUUCUUCGUACCUUUUAUUAUAUACUACCUUUUCGAAAUUUUUUGAAGCAAAAGUUUAAACGGAACAUUUUACACACGUACGCACGCACGCACGCACAUAUCAAGAACAAUUAAGACUUCUGAGAGCUGCGCGGCGAUCAUGUUGGAAUCGUGACGUUAGAAGCGAGGAAUGACACGUUAAUUUAUGUUGCAUACUAUUUUCCAUGCUUUAUGUCUUUGUGGUUAAAUGUGUACCAGUUUCGCCAGACCGUCGUCUGAUUCUGUGUCGCUACUGACAACGCAGAGUUCUUGACUGAGUACUCAGGAGCCUUAAUUAACUUCAACUGCACGUCCAUCUACACCUAUGCCUUAUAUCUCACAAAAUAUUUAAAAUACCAAUGUUACUUCAAAUGUUAGCUUCGAAAGAUUCGGAGCUUCGAAAGAUUGAUACAGAUGUAUACCGAUAUAAGUACUGCACUUUUAUACAGAAAUCAAGAAUUAUGGACAUCUGAUAUUAUAAUAAUUUUAUGUAGUUAACAUAUUACAUUUACAUUCUAU